rnacentral:rRNA from 1 species
CGCCUGUUUAUCAAAAACAUGGUUUUUUGUUUAUAUAAAAAAUUUGGCCUGCCCAAUGAUUAUUUUAAUGGCUGCAGUAUUUUGACUGUACAAAGGUAGCAUAAUCAUUUGUCUUUUAAUUGAAGUCUGGUAUGAAUGGUUAGAUGAAAAAUUUACUUUCUUUAUUUUAUGAAUAAAAAUUGAUUUCUAAAUUAAAAAGUUUAGAUGGAUUUAGAGGACGAGAAGACCCUAUAGAACUUAACUCCCCUUAAUUUAAUUAUUUACUUGUAAAUAAUUUUUUUUUAUUUUUAAGGGGAGUUUUAUUGGGGUGAUAAAAAAAAUUUUUUAACUUUUUUUAUUUUUUUCACUUAUUUGUGAUUUUUUGAUCCUUUAUUAUGGAUAAUAAGAUUAAGUUACCUUAGGGAUAACAGCGUUAUUAUUUUAGAGAGUUCAUAUUAAUAAAAUAGUUUGCGACCUCGAUGUUGGAUUAAAAUUAGUGUCAGGGGUAUAAUAUUGAUUACUAGGUCUGUUCGACCUUUAAAUUUUUACAUGAUCUGAGUUCAAACCGGAG